AUUGAACGCUGGCGGCAGGCUUAACACAUGCAAGUCGAGCGAGCGGCGGACGGGUGAGUAAUGUCUGGGAAACUGCCUGAUGGAGGGGGCUAACUACUGGAAACGGUCGCUAAUACCGCAUACCAUCAGAUGUGCCCAGAUGGGAUUAGCUAGUAGGUGGGGUAAUGGCUCACCUAGGCGACGAUCCCUAGCUGGUCUGCGAGGAUGACCAGCCACACUGGAACUAGGACACUGUCCAGACGCCGACGUGAGGCAGCAGGGGGGAAUAGUGCACAAUGGGCGCAAGCCUGAUGCAGCCAUGCCGGGUGUGUGAAGAAGGCCUUCGGGUUGUAAAGCAAUUUCAGCGAGGAGGCGUUACUCGCAGAAGAAGCACCGGCUAACUCCGUGCCAGCCGCCGCGGUAAUUC
rnacentral:rRNA from 1 species